rnacentral:tRNA from 1 species
ACGCGGCGUGCACGUCGGGCGUGCGGGUCUUGAACACCCGCCCGGUGCGCGCCCGGAGCCGGUCGAACAGGUCGCGUUUGAUCACCGCGUU